CAGAGCUGGUACUAGUGCCCUGGGUCAGAGACAGGACAGAGCUGGUACUAGUCCCCUGGGUCAGAGACAGGACAGAGCUGGUACUAGUCCUCUGGGUUAAGGGGACAGUCAGUCCCCUGGGUCAGAGACAGAACAGAGCUGGUAGCAGUCCUCUGGGUUAAGGGGACAGUCAGUCCCCUGGAACAGAGACAGGACAGAGCUGGUACUAUUCCUCUGGGUUAAGGGGACAGUCAGUCCCAGCAUGUCCUUGAUGUAAAUGCGCAGGCUUACAUUGUGUGUCUUUUUAAAGCACCACGGUCAUAAACUAUAGACCCCUUCUGAAAUGUUCAGCAUGUCACCCUGUUCCUGAUGCCUGUAUGUUGUCAGCUGGUCUCUGUACUACAGAACAGGGUUGAGAGGUGGUUGUCAGCUGGUCUCUGUACUAGAGAACAGGAUUGAGAGGUGGUUGUCAGCUGGUCUCUGUACUACAGAACAGGGUUGAGAGGUGGUUGUCAGCUGGUAUCUGUACUACAGAACAGAGUUUAGGUGGUUGUCAGCUGGUCUCUGUACUACAGAACAGAGUUUAGGUGGUUGUCAGCUGGUCUCUGUACUACAGAACAGGGUUGAGAGGUGGUUGUCAGCUGGUCUCUGUACUACAGAACAGGGUUGAGGUAGUUGUCAGCUGGUCUCUGUACUACAGAACAGGGUUGAGGUGGUUGUCAGCUGGUCUCUGUACUACAGAACAGGGUUGAGGUGGUUGUCAGCUGGUCUCUGUACUACAGAACAGGGUUGAGAGGUGGUUGUUAGCUGGUCUCUGUACUACAGAACAGAGUUUAGGUGGUUGUCAGCUGGUCUCUGUACUACAGAACAGGGUUGAGAGGUGGGGGAGCUAUAAAUGCUUCCACUAUGUCAACUAGAGUUAUUCCACCAUGUCAACUAGUUAUUCCACCAUGUCAACUGGUUAUUCCACCAUGUCAACUAGAGUUAUUCCACCAUGUCAACUAGAGUUAUUCCACCAUGUCAACUAGAGUUAUUCCACCAUGUCCACCAUGUCAACUAGAGUUAUUCCAUCAUGUCAACUAGAGUUAUUCCAUCAUGUCAAGUAGAGUUAUUCCACCAUGUCAAGUAGAGUUAUUCCACCAUGUCAACUAGAGUUAUUCCACCAUGUCAACUAGAGUUAUUCCACCAUGUCAACUAGAGUUAUUCCACCAUGUCAACUAGAGUUAUUCCACCAUGUCAACUAGUUAUUCCACCAUGUCAACUAGAGUUAUUCCACCAUGUCAACUAGAGUUAUUCCACCAUGUCAACUAGUUAUUCCACCAUGUCCACUAGAGUUAUUCCUCCAUGUCCACUAGUUAUUCCACCAUGUCAACUAGAGUUAUUCCACAAUGUCCACCAUGUCAACUAGUUAUUCCACCAUGUCAACAUGAGUUAUUCCACCAUGUCAACUAGAGUUAUUCCAUCAUGUCAACUAGAGUUAUUCCACAAUGUCCACCAUGUCAACUAGAGUUAUUCCACCAUGUCAACUAGAGUUAUUCCACCAUGUCAACUAGAGUUAUUCCACCAUGUCAACUAGAGUUAUUCCACCAUGUCAACUGGAGUUAUUCCACCAUGUCAACUAGAGUUAUUCCACCAUGUCAACUAGAGUUAUUCCACCAUGUCAACUGGAGUUAUUCCACCAUGUCAACUAGAGUUAUUCCACCAUGUCAACUAGAGUUAUUCCACCAUGUCAACUAGAGUUAUUCCACCAUGUCAACUAGAGUUAUUCCACCAUGUCAACUAGAGUUAUUCCACCAUGUCAACUAGAGUUAUUCCACCAUGUCAACUAGAGUU